UAGGGAAUCUUCCGCAAUGGACGAAAGUCUGACGGAGCAACGCCGCGUGAGUGAAGAAGGAUUUCGGUUCGUAAAACUCUGUUGUUAGGGAAGAAAAAAUGUAUAGUAACUAUAUACAAAAGAGACGGUACCUAAUCAGAAAGCCACGGCUAACUACGUGCCAGCAGCCGCGGUAAUACGUAGGUGGCAAGCGUUGUCCGGAAUUAUUGGGCGUAAAGCGCGCGCAGGUGGUUUAGAAAGUCUGAUGUGAAAGCCCACGGCUCAACCGUGGAGGGUCAUUGGAAACUAAUAAACUUGAGUGCAGGAGAGAAAAGUGGAAUUCCUAGUGUAGCGGUGAAAUGCGUAGAGAUUAGGAGGAACACCGGUGGCGAAAGCGGCUUUUUGGCCUGCAACUGACACUGAGGCGCGAAAGAGUGGGGAGCAAACAGG
rnacentral:rRNA from 1 species